rnacentral:rRNA from 1 species
GACGAACGCUGGCGGCGCGCUUAACACAUGCAAGUCGAGCGAAGCGGCGGACGGGUGAGUAACACGUGAGUAACCUGCCUUAGACAUUGGGAUAGCCUCGGGAAACCGGGAUUAAUACCAAAUGGUCUAAGAUGGACUCGCGUCCCAGUAGCGAGUUGGUGGGGGAACGGCCCACAAAGGCGACGAUGGGUAGCCGGCCUGAGAGGGGGAGCGGCCACAUUGGAACGGUGAAACUGUCCAAACUCUACGGGAGGGAGCAGUGGGGAAUAUUGCACAAUGGAGGGAACGCUGAUGCAGCGACGCCGCGUGAACGAAGAAGGCUUUCGAGUCGUAAAGUUCUUUUAUAUGGGAAGCGGUGCCAUAAGAAAAAGCCCCGGCUAACUACGUGCCAGCAGCCGCGGUAAUUC